GAAACGACUGCUAAUACCGCAUGACGCAUAGAGGUCGCAUGAUCUUUAUGCCAAAGAUUUAUCGCUUCAAGAUGGCCUCGCGUCUGAUUAGCUGGUUGGCGGGGUAACGGCCCACCAAGGCGACGAUCAGUAGCCGGACUGAGAGGUUGAACGGCCACAUUGGGACUGAGAUACGGCCCAGACUCCUACGGGAGGCAGCAGUGGGGAAUAUUGGGCAAUGGGCGCAAGCCUGACCCAGCAACGCCGCGUGAAGGAAGAAGGCUUUCGGGUUGUAAACUUCUUUUAAGAGGGAAGAGCAGAAGACGGUACCUCUAGAAUAAGCCACGGCUAACUACGUGCCAGCAGCCGCGGUAAUACGUAGGUGGCAAGCGUUGUCCGGAUUUACUGGGUGUAAAGGGCGUGCAGCCGGGUCUGCAAGUCAGAUGUGAAAUCCAUGGGCUCAACCCAUGAACUGCAUUUGAAACUGUGGAUCUUGAGUGUCGGAGGGGCAAUCGGAAUUCCUAGUGUAGCGGUGAAAUGCGUAGAUAUUAGGAGGAACACCAGUGGCGAAGGCGGAUUGCUGGACGAUAACUGACGGUGAGGCGCGAAAGUGUGGGGAGCAAACAGGAUUAGAUACCCUGGUAGUCCACACUGUAAACGAUGAAUGCUAGGUGUGCGGGGACUGACCCCCUGCGUGCC
rnacentral:rRNA from 1 species